GAUGAACGCUGGCGGCGUGCCUAAUACAUGCAAGUCGAGCGAACGGACGAGAAGCUUGCUUCUCUGAUGUUAGCGGCGGACGGGUGAGUAACACGUGGAUAACCUACCUAUAAGACUGGGAUAACUUCGGGAAACCGGAGCUAAUACCGGAUGAUAUUUUGAACCGCAUGGUUCAAAAGUGUAAGACGGUCUUGCUGUCACUUAUAGAUGGAUCCGCGCUGCAUUAGCUAGUUGGUAAGGUAACGGCUUACCAAGGCAACGAUGCAUAGCCGACCUGAGAGGCUGAUCGGCCACACUGGAACUGAGACACGAUCCAGACUCCUACGGGAGGCAGCAGUAGGGAAUCUUCCUCAAUGGGCGAAAGCCUGACGGAGCAACGCCGCGUGAGUGAUGAAGGUCUUCGGAUCGUAAAGCUCUGUUAUUAGGGAAGAACAUAUGUGUAAGUAACUGUGCACAUCUUGACGGUACCUAAUCAGAAAGCCACGGCUAACUACGUG
rnacentral:rRNA from 1 species